CUGUAGCUAAUUAAGCAGACCAGGUUCCUUUCUUCAUUGGGCCUGGUGUGCAAUGGCUGCAAACAGCAGUCUCUUUGGUAAUGUGGACAGCCUGUUUAUCUGAGCUGCCCCAAGGGACCUGGGAGUGUCUU
ensembl:snoRNA SNORA70 Small nucleolar RNA SNORA70